rnacentral:SRP_RNA from 1 species
AGCUGGACCCUGCGCGGCGCAGCCUCGUGAACCGAGUCAGGGCCGGAAGGCAGCAGCUCUCAGCGAGAAGCUGUGGGUGCCGCAGUAAGUCUGGCUGUU